rnacentral:lncRNA from 1 species
CAAAAACCCCACUUGGAUAGUCUUUCCGUACGGUACGCCAUCUCUUCUCACUCCCUCUCUCUCUCUAUACCCGUGACCCUCUCACCCUCUCUCUUCUCUAAUCUUUCCCUCUCUCACUCUGCCGUUGCUCCCCUCUCUCUCCCCCAAUUUCCCCAUCAUCCCUCUCUCUCUCACACCAUUAUUCCCUCUCUCUGACAGUCCCGCCAUUUCUCCCGUCUUUUUAUCUCGGCCAUUUCCCCUCUCUCCCUCAAUCUCUCUCCUGCCAUUAUCCCUCUCUCUCUCAUAGUCUCCACUAUUAUCAGAAGUCUCUCUCUCUCCCAUUAUCCGUCUUUUCCAUUCUCGACGAAGGCUUCAUCUUCUCCACAGAGACAGCAGCAACAGCGUCUCUACUGCUCUACAGUACUCCCACCACACAAAGGUGAGUUUGUAGACUUUACCUCUGAAUUUUUUUUUUUGGAUUUUUUUUUUGGUUAAUAUGAUAUUGUUUGUAGGCUUCACCUCUGUUCUUACAUUGAAACUCUUCCGCCCCCUGUAACUCUGUUUUUUUGGGAUGUUUUUCUUUCUUGAAACUCCUAUUUUUUAUGUGAAAACACUUUACAGGUCAUAGUUUUGUAGGAGCCCAAAGAUGGGCACUGUUGUAAAACGAAGAGAGCAGUACGCGAUACAAUUAGGUUUCAUCCCCCUGCAUUUUCAUCGUACGGAAGAUAUGCUCCAUUUCUUCAAUGUUUCCCUCACUUCCAAACGUUUCUAUAAUUGAAUUAAAACUCACGGUUGUUUUUGAGAAAUGCCAACUCCUAUCAUUUUCUCUUCCAUUCCAUUGGAUCAAAAUAUUAAGAGUUUGGGUAUGGACCCACGUGUUUGUUAGGUUUAUAUGGUCUUUAAAGGCUUUAUGCCCGUGUAUUUGUUAGGUUUAUAUGGUUUUUAAAGGCGUAUUGAAAUAUUUUUAUUAUAGUGAAAUAUAAACUUAGCGGGAGUAUGGUCCCUCAAAGACCAUAUUAAGUGAAUGAUGUUUGUUUAUACCGGACUGUGCUUAUCGAUCUAGGCCAGUCAGUUGAAAAAUCCAAGGUACCUGGGCAUAACGAAUUAACCGAAAAGGGUUUUAGGUUAGCCCUUAUGAGGUCAGAGCUCAUGCCUAGAUGAGUGAGCCGAGGGACCGUCUGACCCUUGUAUGUGAUGAUAGGCCUAUUGAGACGGGGGUUAAAACCUCAUCCAUGUUCCAUCACAUGGUAUGCAUAUCGAUAGAUCGUUCGGGAAAGCCAGUUAUCCACCUUUGGGUAAAGCGUAUGCAUGUGCAAGAGAUACCCCUAUGCACCAUAGAGUUGUGUCGCAUCAAGUCGUCCUGACCUUGACUCGUCUCUAGAGGAGAACUUGUAAUCCACAGAUUGGGAUUGUGACCCCUUGAUUCAUCGACCUGACUUUGGUGACCUGCUAAUGAGCCUCUAAUUGGACUGUAGGUCAUGAGAAACACUGGGUCGGUUCGAUAAAGUUAAUGUGGUUUGUAGUCCACAGUUGAAGAUGGAGUACCCCAUUAUUGCAGAUUGAAUUCCUAAAACCAUAUGAAUCAUUUUUUCAUCAUAUUAAUUUAAUUGUGUUCAUUUUAUUAUUGAAAUGAUUUUAGUUUUAUUUUUUGAAUUUUUAUGAAUCUUUCAAUAUUUUAAUUAUGAUUUUUGGACUUAUAAAAAAAUAGUUAUUGAUUUUACAAAGUUGUAAAAAUUCAAAUUCAUAUUAAUUCGUUUUAUUUAAUUUUAAAUUUUUUUUUAUAAAAUUCUAUGGGGGACCCAAAGUGCACAUGGGCCCACCAUGUGGCAUGUGGGUGGGGUCCCACAUGUGCCACAAAGGGGUGGCACGCCCCACCCCUUGGAUUCUCUUGUUGCUUUGUGUUCAAGUUUGUUAAAUAUAGUAACUUUGAUUUGUGGCAUGUUGUCAAAUCUUGGAAGGGAAAUAUUGACCUUAUCUUAUUUGGUAGUAUUUAUUUGCUUGAUAAUUAUUGACAUAUCCUUAUGGAAUAUGUGACAUGGAUCGUGCAAUUUUAUGGAAUGCAUGAUAUUUAUUUUAUUUAAAUAUAUUGAUAGGAAAAUAGUUUAAGAAAAAGGGGAUAAUGGUCCAAGCACAUUCCAUAAUGUUGAUAGCCCAUCUAUGGAAUAGAUGACUCAGAUCUCUCACCCCACAAGUCACUUUGAUUAACGGUUUAAAUUCAAUCUCAUGAAAGAGGCAAAUUAUGGGAAAACCCUAAGAAACCCUAAACCUAAAUAUCCACUAUAAAUAGAGGUGCUCUCCCCCCAAUCUCUAUGCACAACCUCUCUCUCUCUCCCAUCACCUCUCUCUCAUAGAGGGGCACGCCUCACUCUCUCUCCUCCAUAUAUCUCUCUCUAAUUUUUUCUUUCCGAAACUUUAGGUAGUAUUCUCUCUCCUCUUUAGACUUAAGUUAAUUUUAAGGGUUGGAAAAAUUAGAUGGGGCCUUAGUUAAUUUUGGGGGUUAAAGUUUAGUAGAGAUUUUAAGGGGUAGUUACCUAGUUUGGCCAAAAUCAGCUAUCCUGGUCUGUUUGAGGUUGUUUUCCAUCACUUGUAUCCCCGAUAUAAAUAAGGAGAGAGCACUACGUGACCUAGCUCCGCAUGUACCAAAAUGCUUGUGGACUACGGAAGCCAUAAAUCAAUAAGCUCUGAUCCAUAAGUGAAAUUUUCGAUACUCUCAUAAUGGUUUAAGAAGGUUCAAGAACGUGCCUAAGGGUCUCUUAAGAAUACCUGCCAAGUUUCGUCUCAAUUCGACAAGUUUAAGGCAGUGCAAACGACAAAACAAUUUUAAAAAUCCUGCCUCUAUCAUGCUAAAAAUGAACUCUGAACUACAUCACCAUUGUCGAAGCGUCAAAUGUUCGCCAUUGGAUUCAAAACAUUCAAAAGCCGUAGGUACCAAUUUUCAGUGCAUUUUGACGCUUCUGGAGCAAGUUAUGGCCACAUUACCCAAAAUGUGUUGGUCAUAUAUUAUUAUGGUGCACCCUCGGUGAACCAGUUUCCAUUAAUGCCAACUGUGGUUCUCUAUUUCGGAGGCAAAUUCACGUGGCCAAAUCUUCCUCACCUCGAGUCGGAUAGAACCCAAAUUUUGGGAACAUGUUCGUCUCGUCGACUCGGUCGAUUUAAUAUGCGACACGCAUGAUAACACGACCCAAGCCAGGUGAAAUCGAAGAGAGAAAUUUGUUGGAAACCUUCCAAAAGUGGCAAGAUAUUUCCAGCAACACGUCUCAUCUAUCAAACGGCCAUAUCACGACAUUCGCGCUUCGGAUCUAGCUCUAACUAGACCCAUUAGGAGCACAUGGUCAGAAGCUUAAUCUGAGCCGAACGUCGCACAUGAUGGACGGUCCAAUUUGGUGCACGAUGAGUCCGAAGUUACCUCUAGACCAUAGAUCUUGUACCAUUGAAUGUGGUAACUCGGUGUGGGGUGUAAAAAGCCCGGUUGAAGUAAUCUUCAGUAUCUUUUUUUUUAUUUACUUGUUCUUUUAUUUUAUAUUCUCAAGCACAGUAUUAGGUUGUAUGAAUGACAUCAAGUAGUUGAGAUUUAUUUUAUUGAUGUGUUAUUUAUUUUUGGUAUUUCUAUUAUUUGUAAUAAGACUAUUUGUGAGUGAUCUUGUUGCCAAAAUUAUAAAAGGUGAUUAUUAUUAAAAAAAAAAAAAUUAUAUUUCCCCAACAAAAGAUGAUCCCGUAGGUCUUUCUUUCCGUAUUGAGGUUUAUCAUACCACUUCUCCAUUUCUUCAAUUUGUCCAUAGUUACCAUAAAUUCAUAAUGUAUUUAUCCAGUUGGCAUCUACCUGUUACAAGCAUUUAUGUUUGUGACUCUUUCCAUACGGUUGAGCAUUCCAUCCAUGCCACAUCCAUCAAUUAUACAAUGGUGACAGUCGUUAAGUUCAACCCCAUCAUCAAAGACGCAAUUAUUUCUAUCAGGACUAGGUCAUUUGGCUUGAUUGAUUAGAUGUUGGCAAGGAAUAGACAAAGUACUAAAAAUAAUAACAAAUUACAUCUGAAAGUCACGCAACUUUCCAUCUGAAAGUCACAGUAAAUUACUUCUUCAAUUCUUGAAUAUUUUCUUGGAAUUGUUGAAUAUUUUCUUGGAAUUCUUGAAUAUUACUUCUAUAUUUUCUUGGAAUUCGUGAAUAUUACGUUUGCCAUGUAGAGAACACAUAAGCAAAGAUAAACUUAAACAUCUACGUCUUUAACUGACUUCACAUCAUAACCACCUUCAUGUGCGGAAUACAUUGCUUUGUUUAUUUUUUAUGAAAUUUGGAUGCAGAUCAAGACCUUGUACCAGUCAGGAUGUCAAUUACAAGUAUCACAAAAGCAUCUAAUGGACGAGCUUGGAUCGAUGGUCAUUCAUCCACUACUUGUUGAUGCUUUAUGGCGUAUGCAACAGUUUUUGUUUUGUUUUUUUUGUGUAAAAUACAUUUUCUUGUUUUACUACUUUUAUUGAAAAGUGUUUGAUAUGAUUAGAGAGUUGGUCUCACAACUUAUAAAACAGUUGUCUUUAUAUUGACUUUGGAAAUAUUUUUCUAAUGAAAAAGCC